rnacentral:rRNA from 2 species
GGGGAUUUCUGAGACAGAUUUGUGCCCUACGUUUUGAGGCCAGCUUGCUGGUACCCGAAUGUGGUUAGCAAUUUUUGUUUUAGUUGUAAAAAAAGUAUGGCUUACGGACUUUAUGUGGAUUGAUUUGGUUGUAAGUUACGGUCGCAUGCGACACGUGCUUUUCAAUCUUUUCGGUCUGUGUAAUGUUCUCAUACUUAUUCCCCAUGUAAAAGCCGGUCAUCUAUCCGACCCGUCUUGAAACACGGACCAAGGAGUUUAUCGUGUGCGCAAGUUUUUGGGUGUUUAAAACCUAAAGGCGAAAUGAAAGUAAAUGACUCUUCGAGUCUGAUGUGCGACCUUUUCUUUUUGAAAAGUGCAGCAUGGCCCCAUUCUAACUGUUUACAGUAGGGUGGAGGAAGAGCGUACGCGGUGAGACCCGAAAGAUGGUGAACUAUUCCUGAGCAGGACGAAGCCAGAGGAAACUCUGGUGGAAGUCCGAAGCGGUU